UGGCUCAGAGGUUAAGAGCACUGACUGCUCUUUCAGAGGACCUGGGUUCAAUUCCCAG
rnacentral:tRNA from 1 species